AUACGGAGGGAGCAAGCGUUAUUCGGAAUCACGGGGCGUAAAGGACGCGUAGGCGGGUUUGUAAGUCAGGUGUGAAAUCCUACAGCUCAACUGUAGAACUGCACUUGAAACUACAGACCUAGAGUAUGGAAGGGGGAGAUGGAAUUAGUGGUGUAGGGGUAAAAUCCGUAGAUAUCACUAGGAAUACCGAAAGCGAAGGCGAUCUGCUGGGACAUUACUGACGCUGAGGCGUGAAAGCGUGGGGAGCAAACAGGAUUAGAUACCCCAGUAGUCC
rnacentral:rRNA from 1 species